AAAGGAAUUGACGGGGACCCGCACAAGCGGUGGAGCAUGUUCUUUAAUACGACGCAACGCGUAGAACCUUACCAAGACUUGACAUGUAACUGCGAGGCGUAUGAAAGUACGCUGUCUUCGAGAGAGUUACACAGGUGUUGCAUGGCUGUCGUCAGCUCGUGUCGUGAGAUGUUGGGUUAAGUCCCGCAACGAGCGCAACCCUUGUUAUUAGUUGCCAGCAAGUAAAGUUGGGCACUCUAAUGAGACUGCCGGUGAUAAACCGGAGGAAGGUGGGGAUGACGUCAAGUCAGUACGGCCCUUACGUCUUGGGCUAGAAACGUGCUACAAUGGCGAAAACAAAGUGUUGCGAACUCGCGAGAGCCAGCCAAUCACAAAAAUUUCGUCUCAGUUCGGAUUGGAGUCUGCAAUUCGACUCCAUGAAGCCGGAAUCGCUAGUAAUGCCGUAUCAGCAACGACGGCGUGAAUACGUUCCCGGGUCUUGUACACACCGCCCGU
rnacentral:rRNA from 1 species